rnacentral:rRNA from 1 species
UACGGAGGGUGCAAGCGUUAUCCGGAUUCACUGGGUUUAAAGGGUGCGUAGGUGGGCAGGUAAGUCAGUGGUGAAAUCUCCGGGCUUAACCCGGAAACUGCCAUUGAUACUAUCAGUCUUGAAUACCGUGGAGGUAAGCGGAAUAUGUCAUGUAGCGAUGAAAUGCUUAGAUAUGACAUAGAACACCAAUUGCGAAGGCAGCUUACUACCCGAAUAUUGACACUGAGGCACGAAAGCGUGGGGAUCAAACAGG